rnacentral:rRNA from 1 species
UACGAGGGGGGCGAGCGUUGUUCGGAAUUAUUGGGCGUAAAGGGUGCGUAGGCGGUUUGGUAAGUCUCUUGUGAAAUCUAUGGGCUCAACUCAUAGUCUGCAAGGGAAACUGCCGGGCUUGAGUGUGGGAGAGGUGAGUGGAAUUUCCGGUGUAGCGGUGAAAUGCGUAGAUAUCGGGAGGAACACCAGUGGCGAAGGCGGCGACCUGGACGGACACUGACGCUGAGACGCGAAAGCGUGGGGAGCAAACAGG